AAGUCGUAACAAGGUUUCCGUAGGUGAACCUGCGGAAGGAUCAUUACCAGGAAUCGGGGCCUCGCGCCCCGUCUUCCCCACCCGUGUUUAUCUCACCGCGUUGCCUCGGCGGGCCUGCGGCUCGUCCCGCUGUCGGCCCCGGCUGGCUAGCGCCCGCCAGAGGACCCAACAAACUCUAUUUCAACGUGUCGUCUGAACGCAAGAUAAAUAAAUCAAAACUUUCAACAACGGAUCUCUUGGUUCUGGCAUCGAUGAAGAACGCAGCGAAAUGCGAUAAGUAAUGUGAAUUGCAGAAUUCAGUGAAUCAUCGAAUCUUUGAACGCAUAUUGCGCCCUCUGGUAUUCCGGAGGGCACACCUGUUCGAGCGUCAUUACAGCACUCAAGCCACGCUUGGUAUUGGGCGCCGCCCUCUGCGGGCGCGCCUCAAACCCCUCGGCGUCGCCGUCCGUCUUCAAGCGCAGCGAGAAUCACUUCCAGCGUUUCGGAGAGGGCGGUGUCCGCCGGACAACACCUUUUUUUCUCAAGGUUGACCUCGGAUCAGGUGGGGAUACCCGCUGAACUUAAGCAUAUCAAUAAGCGGAGGAAAAGAAACCAACAGGGAUUGCCUUAGUAACGGCGAGUGAAGCGGCAACAGCUCAAAUUUGAAAUCUGGUCCUUUCAGGUCCCGAGUUGUAAUUUGUAGAGGAUGCUUUGGAGUCGAGCCCGGUCUAAGUCUCUUGGAACAGGGCGUCAUAGAGGGUGAGAAUCCCGUAUGUGACCGGCGGUCUUCUCCGUGUAAAGCUCCUUCGACGAGUCGAGUUGUUUGGGAAUGCAGCUCUAAAUGGGAGGUAAAUUUCUUCUAAAGCUAAAUACCGGCCAGAGACCGAUAGCGCACAAGUAGAGUGAUCGAAAGAUGAAAAGCACUUUGGAAAGAGAGUUAAAAAGUACGUGAAAUUGUUGAAAGGGAAGCGCUUGCGACCAGACUUGUCCGCGGUUGUUCAGCAGGUCUUCUCGACCUGUGCACUCCUCCGCGGUCAGGCCAGCAUCAGUUCGGGCGGUCGGAUAAAGGCUUCGGGAAUGUGGCUCCCUUCGGGGAGUGUUAUAGCCCGGGGUGCAAUGCGACCUGCCUGGACUGAGGCCCGCGCUUCUGCUAGGAUGCUGGCGUAAUGGUCGUAAGCGGCC
rnacentral:rRNA from 1 species